CACAGUGGAAAUCAAUCCCUGGAGGAGAUGAGGACUUCUAUCUCAGCCCCAAACAAGUGACGAUCUUACAGAUGCGACGGGCUUGCUGAAAUGGAGUUUAUCCUAAGUGGAUAGGCCUGACAGUGUGACACUGCUGAAUCUUCAAGUGGCAGGACUACAACCAAAAUGGUCAUGACAUGGUCAUCGUUCAUGAUUAUCUCCACAUGCCACACAGUCAGCACUGGUGUGCCAUAGGGACCCUGGAUAAAACCAUAAGAGGAAAUCAAGGUUCUUGAAGGAAUGGAAGAGAUGAUCAAGUAGUUCAGAACAAAUAUGGAAUAGACUAAUUGUAAAUAAAGAAC